rnacentral:rRNA from 1 species
GACGAACGCUGGCGGCGUGCUUAACACAUGCAAGUCGAACGGAAAGGCCCUGCUUGCAGGGUACUCGAGUGGCGAACGGGUGAGUAACACGUGGGUGAUCUGCCCUGCACUUCGGGAUAAGCCUGGUAAACUGGGUCUAAUACCGGCUAGGAGCCAUUUUUAGUGUGAUGGUUGGAAAGUUUUUUCGGUGUAGGAUGAGCUCGCGGCCUAUCAGCUUGUUGGUGGGGUAAUGGCCUACCAAGGCGGCGACGGGUAGCCGGCCUGAGAGGGUGGACGGCCACAUUGGGACUGAGAUACGGCCCAGACUCCUACGGGAGGCAGCAGUGGGGAAUAUUGCACAAUGGGCGCAAGCCUGAUGCAGCGACGCCGCGGGGGGGAUGACGGCCUUCGGGUUGUAAACUCCUUGCGCUAGGGACGAAGCUUUUUGUGACGGUACCUAGAUAAGAAGCACCGGCUAACUACGUG